GACGAACGCUGGCGGCGUGCUUAACACAUGCAAGUCGAACGGUAAGGCCCUUCGGGGUACACGAGUGGCGAACGGGUGAGUAACACGUGGGUGAUCUGCCCUGCACUUCGGGAUAAGCCUGGGAAACUGGGUCUAAUACCGGAUAGGACCACUGCCUGCAUGGGUGGUGGUGGAAAGCUUUUGCGGUGUGGGAUGGGCCCGCGGCCUAUCAGCUUGUUGGUGGGGUGAUGGCCUACCAAGGCGACGACGGGUAGCCGGCCUGAGAGGGUGACCGGUCACACUGGGACUGGGAUACGGCCCAGACUCCUACGGGAGGCAGCAGUGGGGAAUAUUGCACAAUGGGCGCAAGCCUGAUGCAGCGACGCCGCGUGAGGGAUGACGGCCUUCGGGUUGUAAACCUCUUUCAGCUAUGACGAAGCGCAAGUGACGGUAGUAGCAGAAGAAGGACCGGCCAACUACGUGCCAGCCGCCGCAGUAA
rnacentral:rRNA from 1 species